GAUGAAGAACGUAGCGAAAUGCGAUAAGUAAUGUGAAUUGCAGAAUUCAGUGAAUCAUCGAAUCUUUGAACGCACAUUGCGCCCGCCAGUAUUCUGGCGGGCAUGCCUGUUCGAGCGUCAUUUCAACCCUCAAGACCCCUUCGGGGGACUUGGUGUUGGGGACCGGCACAGGGGCCUGCCUGCUUGUCUUGCAGCACCCUCGCCGCCCCCGAAAUGAAUUGGCGGCCUCGUCGCGGCCUCCCCUGCGUAGUAGCACAACCUCGCAACGGGAACGUGACGGCGGCCACUGCCGUAAAACAACCCCAAUUUUAUUAGAGUUGACCUCGAAUCAGGUAGGAAUACCCGCUGAACUUAAGCAUAUCAAUAAGCGGAGGA
rnacentral:misc_RNA from 1 species